rnacentral:tRNA from 1 species
GGAGUUGUGCCUGAAUAAAGGGCCACUUUGAUAGAGUGAACCAAGUGGGUUAGAGCCCCCCCAACUCCU